UACAGAGGUGGCAAGCGUUGUUCGGAAUUACUGGGCGUAAAGGGCGCGUAGGCGGCCUUCUAAGUCAGACAUGAAAUCCCCCGGCUUAACCUGGGAACUGCGUCUGAUACUGGAGGGCUUGAGUAUGGGAGAGGGAUGUAGAAUUCCAGGUGUAGCGGUGAAAUGCGUAGAUAUCUGGAGGAAUACCGGUGGCGAAGGCGGCAUCCUGGACCAUUACUGACGCUGAGGCGCGAAAGCUAGGGGAGCAAACGGG
rnacentral:rRNA from 1 species